rnacentral:rRNA from 1 species
CCCGCUGAACUUAAGCAUAUCAAUAAGCGGAGGAAAAGAAACUAACAAGGAUUCCCCUAGUAACUGCGAGUGAAGCGGGAAAAGCUCAAAUUUAAAAUCUGGUGGUCUUUGGCCAUCCGAGUUGUAAUUUAGAGAAGUGUCUUCCGCGCUGGACCAUGCACAAGUCUCCUGGAAUGGAGCGUCAUAGAGGGUGAGAAUCCCGUCUUUGGCAUGGACACACCAGGGCUUCUGUGAUGCGCUCUCGAAGAGUCGAGUUGUUUGGGAAUGCAGCUCAAAAUGGGUGGUGAACUCCAUCUAAAGCUAAAUAUUGGCGAGAGACCGAUAGCGAACAAGUACCGUGAGGGAAAGAUGAAAAGCACUUCGGAAAGAGAGUGAAACAGUACGUGAAAUUGUUGAAAGGGAAACGCUUGAAGUCAGUCGCGUCGACCGAGACUCAGCCUCGCCUUGGCUUGGUGUACUUCUCGGCUGACGGGUCAGUGUCAAUUUUGGGCCUCGGAUAAUGACAAGGGAAAGGUGGCACCUUUAUAGGUGUGUUAUAGUCUCCUGUCGGAUGCGAGGGUCGGGAUUGAGGAACUCAGCACGCGCCUUUUGGUGUCGGGGCUUCGGCCUACGCUACGUGCUUAGGAUGCUGGCAUAAUGGCUUUAAACGACCCGUCUUGAAACACGG